CCUACGGGUGGCAGCAGUGAGGAAUAUUGGUCAAUGGCCGGAAGGCUGAACCAGCCAUGCCGCGUGAAGGUCAGUGCCCUAUGGGCGUUAAACUUCUUUGGUGCGGGAGCAAUAAUGGUCACGUGUGGCCAGACGAGAGUACCGUACGAAUAAGCAUCGGCUAACUCCGUGCCAGCAGCCGCGGUAAUACGGGGGAUGCAAGCGUUAUCCGGCUUUAUUGGGGUUAAAGGGGGCGUAGGCUGUGAGGUAAGUCAGCGGUGAAAUGCCCCCGCUCAACGGGGUGAAGUGCCAUUGAUACUGGCUUGCUGGAAUGCGGAUGCCGUGGGAGGAAUGUGUGGUGUAGCGGUGAAAUGCAUAGAUAUCACACAGAACACCGAUUGCGAAGGCAUCUCACGAAUCCGCGAUUGACGCUGAUGCACGAAAGCGUGGGUAUCAAACAGGAUUAGAUACCCCAGUAGUC
rnacentral:rRNA from 1 species